ACCCUGAUAGCUCAAUUGCUAAAGAAUCUGCCUGCAGUGCAGGAGGCCCUGGUUCCAUUCCUGGUCAGGAAG
rnacentral:tRNA from 1 species